GAUGAACGCUGGCGGCGUGCCUAAUACAUGCAAGUCGAGCGGACGGACGAUAAGCUUGCUUCUCUGAUGUUAGCGGCGGACGGGUGUGUAACACGUGGAUAACCUCCCUAUAAUACUGGGAUAACUUCGGGAAACCGGCGCUAAUACCGGAUAAUCUCUUGAACCGCAUGGUUCAAUAGUGAAAGUCGGUCUUUCUGUCACUUAUAGAUGGAUCUGGGCUGCAUUAGCUAGUUGGUAGGGUAACAGCUUACCAAGGCAACGAGGCAUAGCCGAAGUGAGAGGGUGAUAGGCCACACUGGAACUGAGACACCGUCCAGACUCCUACGGGAGGCAGCAGUAGGGAAUCUUACGCAAUGGGCGAAAGCCUGACGGAGCAACGCCGCGUGAGUGAUGAAGGUCUUCGGAUCGUAAAACCCUGUUAUUAGGGAAGAACAUAUGUGUAAGUAACUGUGGAGAUCUUGACGGUAACUAAUCAGAAAGCAACGGCUAACUACGUG
rnacentral:rRNA from 1 species